CGACAGAGCGGGACUCGGCCUCAAAAUAAACAAAUUAAUUAAUUAAUUUUUAAAAAGUUACCACAAACUCCAAAAGAUAAUUUCUGUCUCACCUUAUAUAAAACUUCAAACAUGGAGUGUCCAGCUUGAAGCAGUGUCUGAGGGGAGUACUGCUUUUAGCUGGAUACACCCCGACGGAGGUUUUAUGCAAGGACAGAGAUAAAUUACAGGACUGAGAGGAACCAAGGCUGGUGUGAACUGACUGCUUGCCAUGUACCAGGCUCAGGUCUAAGUCCCUUAAAAGUAUCCCCUAAGCUAAGUCUCCUGAACCCUCGUUAUUACCCCCAUUUUACAGAUGAGGAAACUGUGGUUCAGAGUCAAGUCAUUUGCCCAGGGUCACACACUUGUGCGCAGUCAGUCCUGUCUUGGAAUGGAACAGUGAGUGAGCAGAAGCACUCUGCCCUGCUGGUGGGCUCUUUGCCCCAGGGCCAUGGAGGGCACAUACAGGGUCAGCAGACCUGCACUUCUAUCCCAACCUCCUUAUUGCUGUUACUGAGACCAAUUUCCCAGGUUCGCAGACUCCAGUUAUCCACGAAUUUAGCAUAGCUGGGUGAUCCUCCCCUCCCUUGUUCUCUCUGCCAACACCACCAAAUCCAGGGCCUCCCUCCUUACUUCACACCAAGACUAUUCACCGGCCUCCCAGCUGGCCUCCUGACUCAAAUCUUGCCCCUCUCAUAUUAACCUACUAGAAUACUGAUUGGGUAAUUUCACAUCCUACCCAAAAGCCUUCCUUUCCUACAGAAUGAUGUCCUGUUCUGGCAUUCAGGAUUUUACCACGUAGCAGCCCCCUUCCUCUCUGCAACACUUCCCUCUUUUCCCUCCAUUCCAGCACCCCCUCUCUUUCCAGCAAAGUUUCUUCCAGGAAGCGAACUAACCCUCUGUGUCCCUGACUAGCACAUAAAGGUGAUAUUGUCACUUCCCUACCCCAGGCCUCAGAUUUCCCACAUAAACUAAAAGACUUGGAUGGCUCCCUAAAGUUUCUUUAAAAGCUAUAAGAUUCCAGCCGGGUGAGGUGACUGACUCCUGUAAUCCCAGCACUUUGGGAGGCCAGGGCAGGAGGAUCACCUGAGGUCAGGAUUUCAAGACCAGCCUGCCCAACAUGGUGAAACCCCAUCUCUACAAAAAUACAAAAAUUAUCCGAGCAUGAUGGCGGGUGCCUGUAAUCCCAGCUACAGGCUGAGGCAGGAGAAUUGCUUGAACCCAGGAGGCAGAGGUUGCAAUGAGCCGAGAUCACGCCACUGCCUUCCAGCCUGGGCGACAGAGUGACACACCGUCUCAAAAAAAAAAAAAAAAAAAGGAAGUAAGAUUCCAUGUCAUAUUGUCAAUGACUAGGUCCUAUGGGAAGUAGAAGGCCCUUUGGAAGGACAGCAGAUUGACGUGGAAAUUAGUACAAACACACACACACACAUACCCUGUCUAUUUUAGAGACAGGGUCUUGCUCUGCUCUGCCACCAAGGCUGGAGUACAGUGGCACAUUCAUAGCUCACUGUAACCAACUGCUGGGCUCAAGUGAUCCUCUCGCCUCUCAAGUAGCUGGCACCACAGACACAGGCCAUCAUGCCCAGCUAAUUUUUUUUUUUUUAUUUGUAGGGAUGGGUUCUCGAUGUGUUGCCCAGGCUGGUCUCAAACUCGUGGGCUCAAGCAAUCCUUCCACUUCAGCCUCCCAAAGAGCUGGGAUUACAGGCAUGAGUCACAGUGCCUAGCCACAAAUUAGUAUAUAAUUGACCAAAAUGUGUAUAUUGAAUCAUGAUGGCAGGUGCCUGUAAUCCCAGCUACUCAGGAGGCUGAGGCAGGAGAAUUGCUUGAACCUGGGAGGUGGAAGUUGCAGUGAGCUGAGAUCACACUACUGCACUCCACCCUGAGCGACGGAGUGAGAUUCCAUCUCAAAAAAUAAUAAAAUUUAAAAAAAUAAAAAUAAAGGCCAGGCACAGUGGCUCACGCCUGUAAUCCCAGCACUUUGGGAGGCCAAGUUGGGCAGGUCAUGAGGUCAGGAGAUCAAGACCAUCCUGGCUAACACAGUGAAACCCCGUCUCUACUAAAAAUACAAAAAAUUAGCCAGGCAUGGUG
rnacentral:lncRNA from 1 species